AGACAGACCACGACGCCGACGGCAGCUGCAGCCAGUAGCAGAUGCUGCUAGAGAGGCAGCAGCCUUCCAUGUGAGUCACCGAGUCCCCAUCAGGGGCCGGCCAGCGAACCUAGCGAGGCUGGUGGAUCACGCGAGGAGCGCUGCUCUUGGGGCUGCCGGCGUACUUGGUCGGCUUCUCGGAGUGCCUGGGUUUCUCCCGGAACCCCCGCGGGGCGUCGCCGCUCUUCGGGGAACCCAAGUUCAGCGCCUUGAGCACCGAAUCUGGCGGAGGAAAAGCACACCAACGUACGCGGAAGCUUGUUCUCCAUCGAACAGGGACGGGUGGAACACGACGGCGCCGGCGUUCGCAGACACUUGUGCAGAACAUGAGAAAUCAUGCAUUUAAAUUAAUCCAGGCAGUCAGGCUUUCAAGUUGCCUAGCAUAUCAAUAUUUCAAGGUGCUAUAGCAAGGGUGAAGACGUGAAAGUCAGCACUUAAUAUUAAUAUAAUAGUUUCAUCAUGAGAUGAACUUCUGUUAUACUGUAUUUUUAGCCUUUUCCCAUAUAAUGUAGCAUAUAUUAUGCAAAAAAAAAGAGAAAUAUUCAUUUGCAUGCAUAUAAAAGCACAUAGUACAGUGUAGUAUGGAGUCCAUCAAAGUUGCAGUUGACGCCAGAUGCCCAUUUCAAGAAUGAUCUUGGCCUAGACAGUUUGGACGCGGUGGAGCUUGUCAUGGACUUGGAAGAUGAAUUCAGAUUCGAGAUACCUGACAAUGAAGCUGAUGACAAGAUGGACACCAUCAAAGUUGCAGUUAACUUCAUUGCCUCACACCCGCAAGCGAAAUGAUAAGACGCAUCGCCUGCAGUAAACCUAUAUCGUUCAUUAACCUCUGUCCGUGAAGAAAGAUCGGCUUGAAGAUGUACACUACCGUGACCAUUUAUUUGGAUACUUCUCCUGACGCUUACUCUCCUUUCUGGAACGAUUCUUUUUUUAUUGUCUGCACGAAACAAAAUGUUUGAGCCUGA